UCCGUAGGUGAAACUGCGGAAGGAUCAUUAAUGAAUUUUAGGACGUUCUUUUUAGAAGUCCGACCCUUUCAUUUUCUUACACCGUGCACACACUUCUUUUUUACACACACUUUUAACACCUUAGUAUAAGAAUGUAAUAGUCUCUUAAUUGAGCAUAAAUAAAAACAAAACUUUCAGCAACGGAUCUCUUGGCUCUCGCAUCGAUGAAGAACGCAGCGAAUUGCGAUAAGUAAUGUGAAUUGCAGAAUUCAGUGAAUCAUCGAAUCUUUGAACGCACCUUGCACUCUUUGGUAUUCCGAAGAGUAUGUCUGUUUGAGUGUCAUGAAACUCUCAACCCCCCUAUUUUGUAAUGAGAUGGGCGUGGGCUUGGAUUAUGGUUGUCUGUUGGCGUAAUUGCCGGCUCAACUGAAAUACACGAGCAACCCUACUGAAAUAAACGGUUUGACUUGGCGUAAUAAUUAUUUCGCUAAGGACGUUUUCUUCAAUUAUAAGAGGUGCUUCUAAUUCGCUUCUAAUAGCAUUUAAGCUUUAGACCUCAAAUCAGUCAGGGCUACCCGCUGAACUUAAGCAUAUCAAUAAGCGGAGGAAAAG
rnacentral:rRNA from 1 species